GCUGAGUCUUGGUGUAGUAGCGAUAGCGAUUCUGGUGUCUCCGAUCUUGCUCAUCUUGCUGAAAAGAUUGUGUUUUAUAAAAAUCCAGUAUCCCAAUACGAAACUGAUUUGCUUUCGGUGGUUCAUUCACUUACCUUGUCAAUGAAUGAGAAGGAUCUGAACAUGAACGAGAUCGGUCUUUGCAAUGCUAGCUGUAUCCGGUUUGUU
rnacentral:misc_RNA from 1 species